AGUGAACGCUGGCGGUAGGCCUAACACAUGCAAGUCGAACGGCAGCACAGUAAGAGCUUGCUCCUACGGGUGGCGAGUGGCGGACGGGUGAGGAAUACAUCGGAAUCUACUUUUUCGUGGGGGAUAACGUAGGGAAACUUACGCUAAUACCGCAUACGAUCUACGGGUGAAAGCAGGGGAUCUUCGGACCUUUCGCGAUUGAAUGAGCCGAUGUCGGAUUAGCUAGUUGGCGGGGUAAAGGCCCACCAAGGCGACGAUCCGUAGCUGGUCUGAGAGGAUGAUCGGCCACACUGGAACUGAGACACGGUCCAGACUCCUACGGGAGGCAGCAGUGGGGAAUAUUGGGCAAUGGGCGCAAGCCUGAUCCAGCCAUACCGCGUGAGUGAUGAAGGCCUUCGGAUUGUAAAGCCCUGUUGUUAGGGAAGAAAAGCAGCGGAUUAAUACCCCGCUGUUCUGACGGUACCCAAAGAAUAAGCACCGGCUAACUUCGUG
rnacentral:rRNA from 1 species